UACGGAGGGGGCAAGCGUUGUUCGGAAUUACUGGGCGUAAAGGGCGCGUAGGCGGCCAGCGCAAGUCAGUUGUGAAAUCUCCGGGCUUAACUCGGAACGGUCAACUGAUACUGCGCGGCUAGAGUGCGGAAGGGGCAACUGGAAUUCCCGGUGUAGCGGUGAAAUGCGCAGAUAUCGGGAGGAACACCAAUGGCGAAGGCAGCUCGCUGGGACGUUACUGACGCUGAGACGCGAAAGCGUGGGGAGCGAACAGG
rnacentral:rRNA from 1 species